GCGAAUGCCUCUAGAUUUUAAGUUUGAUCAUGGCUCAGGACUGAACGCUGGCGGCGUGCCUAAUACAUGCAAGUCGAACGGUAACAGGAAGCAGCUUGCUGCUUUGCUGACGAGUGGCGGACGGGUGAGUAAUGUCUGGGAAACUGCCUGAUGGAGGGGGAUAACUACUGGAAACGGUAGCUAAUACCGCAUAACGUCGCAAGACCAAAGAGGGGGACCUUCGGGCCUCCUGCCAUCGGAUGUGCCCAGAUGGGAUUAGCUAGUAGGUGGGGUAACGGCUCACCUAGGCGACGAUCCCUAGCUGGUCUGAGAGGAUGACCAGCCACACUGGAACUGAGACACGGUCCAGACUCCUACGGGAGGCAGCAGUGGGGAAUAUUGCACAAUGGGCGCAAGCCUGAUGCAGCCAUGCCGCGUGUAUGAAGAAGGCCUUCGGGUUGUAAAGUACUUUCAGCGGGGAGGAAGGUGUUGAGGUUAAUAACCUCAGGCAAUUUGAACCGUUUACCCC
rnacentral:rRNA from 1 species